rnacentral:rRNA from 1 species
UACGUAGGGUGCAAGCGUUAAUCGGAAUUACUGGGCGUAAAGCGUGCGCAGGCGGUUUUGUAAGUCUGUCGUGAAAGCCCCGGGCUCAACCUGGGAAUUGCGAUGGAGACUGCAAGGCUUGAAUCUGGCAGAGGGGGGUAGAAUGCCACGUGUAGCAGUGAAAUGCGUAGAGAUGUGGAGGAACACCGAUGGCGAAGGCAGCCCCCUGGGUCAAGAUUGACGCUCAUGCACGAAAGCGUGGGGAGCAAACAGG